GCGCCCUUAGCUCAGCUGGAUAGAGCGUCAGAUUCCGGUUCUGAAGGUCAGAGGUUCGAAUCCUCUAGGGCGUA
rnacentral:tRNA from 1 species